UGUGAUGCUUUUUCUGUAUGUUAAUGUUUCAUGUUACUGGUCCUGUCAUAACUUAGUGUCUGAUUACUGGAGUUUCAGUUUUGUUGCACCAAUUUUUCCAUUGCUUUCAGUAAUUUUCCUUUCCUUGAUUAUGUUAGGUAUGUUAAAUUUUCUGGAAAUGAGUUAACAACUUGUAACUCUUUUAUCUUUAGGCAUAUGAGAGUAGGAAAGCUAACCUAAGCCAAGUUGGGAUGCUGGUGGGAGGGAGCACCAAUGCUUUUGGGGGCAGAACGUAUGAAGAUAUGUUUCUAGUUUUUUAUCUUAUUAACUAUAGAGCGGGCAGAUCCCUUUGAAUGAAUUAUGGCAUUGAAGAAAAGGGAAAAAAACCUUCGUCGUUGCAUAUAUGACUUAUUUGUCUGAAAAAGUUAUUUAUCCUCAGCAAUAGGGUAGUAUGCAAGAUGAAGGUUAAGGGAAAAAUGCUGGUGCCAAACUUGAGCAUUAUAGUUUUGUGACAAUUAGCUAAGUUGUUCUUUAUAGGAGGUAAUAGGAAUCCCAUGUCAUAUUAAACCAUAGGACCAUAUGGUUUCUUCCUUAGGGUAGAGAGAUACAGAAAACCUGAAGUUUAUCUUUAAAGUUUAACAGAGGGCCCAAGCAUGCUAUUGGAAAUAGGAUGUGCAAAGAUAUGGUUCUUGAAAUAUCCAUGUUAUUGAAGUGUCCAGUUUUAUUUAAUUUAUAGAGUGUGUAUAUGCCAUGCACUUGUGACGUGGUUAUUAGAGUUUAAAUAACGUAGACCAUGGGAAAAGGGAAAGCAAAUCCUAAAGUGGGAUUGUGACUAUUCAAAAAAGAGUCAGUGGUAUAGUUUUAUCUUAUGAACAUUGUCUUACUAGAUAAGAUGUCUUUUCUAGGAAGUAAAAAGGGAUUUUUCAUCAUGUCUUAACUGUAUAAUCCAUAGUUCCUCUGGCAGAGGAGCAUAAAUACUGACAGCUUGAAAUCUAGGUUAUUGCAUCUACAGUUCAAAAUUUACAUUUAAAUUCAAGUAAACAAAUGUGUCAUGGUUACAUAAGUGAUUAUUGGAUUCAUUCUUGGAUAAGUGAUUAAUUGGAAACGAGUGAAAUAAUAUGUUACAUGAGUGUCUUGUGGGAGGUUCUAGGUUCAAGAAAAUGUGAUCUACAAAAAAAAAAAAAAAAAAAAAAUGAAAGAAAGAAAGGAAUUAGUCAUGAGUUUGAAUGGGAAGAUCUGAUAUGAGGGUGUGGGUGGUGACUUCAAUGUUAUAAGGAGAAGUUCAGAAAAACUGGGUGGAUCUAGAUUCACUUCUAGCAUGAGGGACUUUGAUGGCUUUAUAAGAGAAAGUGAAUUACAUGAUCCCCCAUUACGAAAUGCCUCUUUUACUUGGUCAAAUAUGCAAGAGUCACCGGUGUGUAAGAGAUUGGAUCGGUUUCUCUAUUCAAAUGAGUGGGAGUUCUCAUUUCCUCAAAGCCUUCAAGAAGUUCUCCCUAGAUGGACAUCAGAUCAUUGGCCGAUUGUAUUGGAUACCAAUCCUUUCAAGUGGGGUCCUACACCUUUUAGGUUUGAGAAUAUGUGGUUGCAACAUCAUAGUUUCAAUGAGAGCUUUAGCAGUUGGUGGAGAGAAUUUAAAGGAAAUGGUUGGGAAGGUCACAAGUUCAUGAGGAAGCUACAAUUUGUUAAGGCAAAAUUGAAAGAUUGGAAUAAGAAUACUUUUGGAAUGCUUAAGGAAAGGAAGAAAACCAUAUUGGAUGAAAUAGCUAUCAUUGGUGCCAAUGAACAAGAAGGGGCUCUCUCUUCUAAUCUAGCUGUUCAAAGAGCUGUAAGAAAAGGGGAGCUAGAGGAAAUAAUAAUGAGGGAAGAAAUUCAUUGGAGACAAAAAGCCAAGGUAAAAUGGGUUAAAGACGGGGACUGCAACUCAAAGCUGUUCCACAAAGUGGCUAACGGGAGACGAAACAGGAAUUUCAUCAAAUUAUUAGAGAAUGAAAGGGGUUUGGUGUUGGACAAUUCCGAGAGCAUCACAGAGGAGAUAUUACUUUAUUUCAAAAAACUAUACUCGAGUCCUCCAAGUGAGUCGUGGAGUGUAGAAGGUAUCGAUUGGUCCCCUAUAUUAGAAGAGAGUGCCUCUAGGCUGGAUUCCCCUUUCUCCGAAGUAGAGAUCUAUAAUGCCAUCUUUCAGUUAGAUAGGGAUAAGGCACCGGGGCCUGAUGGUUUCACCAUAGCAGUGUUUCAGGAUUGUUGGGAUGUGAUCAAGGAUGACUUAGUGAGGGUGUUUGCAGAGUUUCACAAUAGCGGGAUUAUUAAUCAAAACACCAAUGCAUCCUUCAUAGUUCUUUUGUCCAAAAAGAGUCAGUCAAAGAAGAUCUCGGAUUUUAGACCUAUCAGCCUAAUCACUUGUCUCUAUAAGGUAAUAACAAAAGUCUUGUCAGGGCGUCUAAGAGGAGUACUACAGGAGACCAUCCACUCCACUCAAGGUGCUUUUGUUAAAGGGAGACAAAUUCUGGAUGCAGUUCUUAUAGCCAAUGAGAUUGUGGAUGAGAAAAGGCAAUCAGGGGAGGAAGGAGUAGUAUUCAAGAUAGACUUCGAAAAGGCUUAUGACCAUGUUAAAUGGGAUUUUUUGGAUCAUGUGUUGGAGAAGAAGGGAUUUAGUCCUAAAUGGAGGAAAUGGAUGAGAGGUUGUCUGUCGUCGGUCUCUUAUGCUAUUCUAGUGAAUGAUAAUGCUAAAGGGUGGGUCAAGGCAUCUAGAGGUUUAAGGCAAGGUGACCCUUUAUCCCCUUUCCUGUUCACCAUUGUUGCAGAUGUGUUGAGUAGAAUGUUGUUGAAAGCUGAAGAAAGAAGUUUGCUGGAGGGCUUCAGGGUAGGUAGAAAUAGGUGUUGGGUGUCCCAUCUGCAAUUCGCAGACGAUACCAUCUUCUUUGCUAACUCUAGUGAGGAAGAAUUGCAAACUCUUAAGAGUUUAUUGUUAGUGUUUGGUCAAGUUUUUAGGCUUAAAAUCAAUCUUGAUAAGAGUAAUCUAUUUGGUAUCAACUUGGAUCAGGAUCAUCUUUCUAGGUUAGCAUUGUUGCUUGAUUGCAAGACUUCAGAUUGGUCUAUACUUUAUCUAGGUCUUCCUUUGGGAGGGAAUCCAACUGCUUGUGGUUUCUGAGACCCAGUGAUUGAGAGAAUUUCUAGGAGAUUAGACGGGUGGCAAAAGACUUACUUAUCUUUCGGCGGUAGGAUAACUCUCCUACACUCAUGUCUAUCCCAUAUCCCUAGCUACUUUCUUUCUCUGUUUAAGAUUCCUACUUUAGUGGCUGCAAAAGUUGAGAGGAUGCAAAGGAUCUUUCUUUGGUCAGGGAUUGGGGAAGGCAAAAGAGACCAUCUUGUUAGAUGGGAUGUUGUGUGUAAGCCGAGGGUAAAAGGGGGUUUGGGGAUUGGGAAGAUUCCUUUAAGGAAUCGCGCUCUUUUAGGGAAAUGGUUGUGGAGGUGUCCUAGGGAGAGUACAGCUCUUUGACAUCAGGUCAUUCUUAACAUAUACGGGACACACUCAAAUGGUUGGGAUGCCAACACUUUAGUCAGGUGGUCACAUCGUUGCCCUUGGAAGGCCAUUGCACAAGUCUUUCAGGAUUUUUCCAAGUAUACUCGAUUGGUUGUAGGAAACGGGGAAAGAAUUCGCUUUUGGGAAGAUUUAUGGUGGGGGGACCAAAUCUUCAAAGACCAAUAUCCAAGACUAUUUAGAGUAGUAAUGGAUAAAAGUGUUCCCAUAUAUUCAAUUCUUGGUUCGGAUCGCCCUUUCUCAUGGAACUUUAAUUUCCGUCGUAGUCUAACCGAUUAUGAGAUAAAAGAUUUAGAACGCCUCAUGCGCUCUAUUGAUUGUAUGAAUUUAUUCACCUCCGCUUCAGAUGCGAGAUCUUGGUCCUUAUUGUCUUCAGGACUGUUUACAGUCAAGUCCUUCUUUACAGCCUUGUCCCAAACGUCUUAUUCAUUUCCUUUGAUCCCUUAUAAGUUUUUAUGGAAAUCUCAAGUUCCCUUCAAAGUUAAGGCCUUUGUCUGGCUUGUGGCACACAAGAAGGUAAAUACCAAUAACUUGCUACAAUUGAGGAGACCCCACAAAGCUCUUAGCCCUGACAUUUGUAAGUUGUGUAUGGGGCAAGGAGAAUUAGCAAAUCACCUAUUCCUUCAUUGUUCUGUGACGUUGGGGUUGUGGCACAACCUUUUUCAGCUAGCCAAGAUGGAUUGGGCCCCUUCGAAAAACAUUUCAGACAUGAUGUUCAUCAAUUAUAAAGGUUUUGGCAAAUCCAAGAGAGGGUUGGUUUUGUGGCAAAAUGCGUGCAUAGCUUUAAUUUGGGUUGUGUGGCGGGAAAGGAAUGCUAGGAUAUUUGAGGAUAAAGCUAGGAAUUUAGAGAAUCUUUGGGACUCCAUUCAUUUCAUCGCUUCUGUCAUGCCCCAAGACCCACUCCAAGGGCGUGAUGGUCAUUUCACACUUCAAACCCGAAAGCUUACAGUGUAACCUGAUCCAAACACUUAUUUUGUAAUCGGAAGUUACCAAUUACCAAGUACCUGUUCAGAGUAGCGGAACAAAUCUAAAAUCCUCAAAAUUCAAUUUCAAAACUAAACAUCCACUAUCCAAAAUCCAUUGUCCAAAUAUUUGCAAACUUAAAUAAUUCAAGUACUAGAACAAAUUUCAAAAUCUUCAAAACUCAACUUUGAUCUAACAUAAAAUUUGAAGGAUCAAUAUCCAAAUAACUUCCAAAUACCAAAAGAUCCAAUGAACACAACUAACAGUUAAACAAAAUUCAAUAUAAAAUCCUAAGUCAAAUUCUAGUGAUGAUCAUUCCUUAGCCUAGCCAUCACUCCUCACCCGAACUAAGGGUACCUGAAAAGUAGUCAACAAAUGGGAAUGAGCUCAUAGCCCAAUAAGGAACAUUAAUGCAGUCCAUGGAUCAAACAUUUCAAACUUACUUGCAAAAUAGGAGAUAUUGUAAUCAAUCAUUUUCAUAAAGUUGUGAGUAAUUUUUUUUUUUUUUUGCUAAUACAUUCAAAAUUUCUAACCGUAUGCAUUUAUUUCUAAUUCAAACAAUUUCAUAUCAAAUUCAGUCAAAACAUUCCAAUAAUUUAUUUACUCUGGUCAUCAAACAUCAAAGGGUGCCUAGUUAGGUGGGACUUUUCAAAUGGGUGGCUAGCCUCAAAUUGUUCCUUUAAGGUGGACGGAACCAAACAUUACUAGUACUAGUAACCUCUAACCGAAACCCCUAGAGGCUGGGGUUCAAAUCAAUUACAUUCCCCACCAAGAAAUGUAAAGGUCAAUUAUUAUAUCCUAUUGACAGGGGCCAAAAGUCAAUUAUUAUAUCCCGUUGACAAGGGCCAAACAAACCAGAGUCAAAUAUUUAUUUCAUUUAUUCAAAUUUACAACAUAUAAUAUCUCCACAUUUAUUUGUCAAAAACAUAAUAUAAAAUUCUAACAUACUUUUCAUGCAAAACAAGUUUGAUCCAUGCAUAAAACGGAAUAUAACUCAAACGUUUUCAAAUAAUGUAUAUAUAUAUAUAUAUAUAAAUUGUUUUAAAAAAAAAGAACUUAACAAUUGCAUUAAUUUCCCUUACCUCAAAAGAAGUCCUCAAAAACUUUGGAGAAAAAUAAUUCUGAAAAUCUACUCUUCACUUAACAAAACAUAAGAGAAACAAUUAUUACUAUUUAUCUAAAAUUAUAGGUUUGACAAUCCUAAAAUUUUAGGUAUUCAAAUUAAUUUUUUUUUUAUAUUUAUGAAAGGUAGUUUAAUCUAUUCAUAUUUUAAAAUUUAAUAAAUUUGUAAUUCAUAUAAAAUUGAAUUUAUUUAUUUAUUUUAAAAUUUAUUUCUUGGGACACAACUUAAUUAAACUAUAAUUUAUUUCAAUAAUUAAUUUCUAUGUUAUUUAUUAACUUACGCUCAUAAUUAUAAUAUAAAAAAAAAACUUUGCUUCCUUUUUAUUUAAAACUUCUAUUCUCUCAUUUUUAUUUUUAUUUUUUUUAAACGUAAACUUUAUUCCCAACAAUACUCCAUUAUUGUCAACAAAAUAAUAGACAUGUAUAUAUAUAUAUAUAUAUAUAUAUAUAUAUAUAUAUAUAUAUAUAUAUAUUAACUAACAACUCUCUCAUCCAUCCGUACACACACCCACACCCCAUAUUUAUAUUAUAUUAUUUUUUUCAUUCUCCAGUCCCAGUGUGCACACGCGUCCUCCAUUUUUUUUUUUUUUAAUCCUUAAGCCAUUCUCCAAUUCCACAGUGUGCACACGCGUCUUCCAGGUUUUUUUUUCCCUAAAAACUUAAGAAUUUCCAAUUUCCAACAAUAAAUCGAAAUCUUAAAUUUUCACUAUUUGAUAUUAAAACGAAUUAAAAAUAAUAAUAAACUAACCCUAAUCUAAAUCGAAAUCUUCAUAGGAUUUUUUUUUUUUUCUAAAAAAAAACUUAAGAUCUCCCCAAUUCCAAUAAUAAAUCAAGAUCUUAAUUUUUCACUAUUUGGUAUUAAAACGAAUUAAAAAAAAUAAACUAACCCUAAUCUAGAUUUGGGGUUUUCCAAAAAAAAUAUCUAAUGUGCUUGAAAUUAACUAAUGAAUCUAAAAUAAUAAUCUAGGGGUUAGAAUCUUACCUAUAGAGGUUUGUUCUUCAAACCUUAAAAUCUGACCUCAACUUCACGUUCUCUAGAAACUCUCUGCGAACAAGAAUACGAUUCAAAAAAAGAACAGGAAGAAGAGAAUUUUCUAUUUAUACCUAGGGUAUUAUUCGUAAAAUUACUUUUUCACCCCUCUUCCAUUUUAUUAAAUUAAUUAAUUAAUUAAUUUAAUAUCAUUAUUAAGAAUUUCCUAAAUUACCCUUUAAAAAGAAAACUUGGGCGUUACAGCUUCGUUUUGGGCUUUUUGCUCAACAUGGUUUAAGGGCAUUCCCCUUAACUUUUUACAAUUAAAUUGGCUAGCAGUGUGUAGGUCCAAUGAGACGGUGUAGUGUCAUGUUAUUUUAUUGUGUUGUUUAGUUUUAAUUCUGGCGGGAGGACUUCUCAUCCUCCUUAUGUACUAUUUUAUCUUAUCAAUAUAUUCAUGCGUGGUUUCCCAUCAAAAAAAAAAAAAAGAUCUGAUAUGAGGGUGGUAGAGGUGAACAGGGAGCAACAUGGAAAAAGCUUCAACCCAAGAAUCUGGUUGUUUCCUGAAGCUGUUUUGCUCAUAGUUUGCAGGCUUGCAGCCAAUCAGUUAAAUUUGUUUAGUAAUUUUUAUUUUCUUCAUUCAUUGGCACAUAAAAUUUUGAAUUCAACCGACACAAACUGGCGGUGCAUAUGCUACAAGAAUGGGAGCGAUUGCAUUUAUUGUUAUCUGAAAUCUUACUACUCUUACAUUUUAUUAAAUUGAUUCCAUGAAAUGGAUGUGUUUUGGUUUAGUAGAGAUACAUGGUAUUCCAGUUCAUGGAAAUCUCGUCAUUUUGGAUUGUUUCGAUUGCAGAUAAUAUCAAUUAAAUCCGAGUUUGAAUGUCAAAUUUCAUGGGUUUUUGUUUGUCUAUUUCCUGCCAGCCCAUUGGAUUGGGAGCAUGUUUAACCAUUGACUUGCAUUUGUUUCCCAUGUAUCAUGAUCAUGAACCCUACUAUGUUGGCAAUUCCAUUAUGUCCCAAUCCCCGGAUAAUCCCGGAGUUCCCAAACCACCCAGUCUUAGUACU